rnacentral:rRNA from 1 species
GACGAAGGAUGCAAGCGUUAUCCGGAUUCAUUGGGUUUAAAGGGCGCGUAGGUGGCCUUAUAAGUCAGUGGUGAAAUCUCUGGGCUUAACCCAGAAAUUGCCAUUGAUACUGUAGGGCUUGAGUAUAGAUGCCGUUGGCGGAAUAUGACAUGUAGUGGUGAAAUACAUAGAGAUGUCAUAGAACACCGAUUGCGAAGGCAGCUAACGAAACUAUAACUGACACUGAGGCUCGAAAGUGUGGGGGUCAAACAGG